rnacentral:lncRNA from 1 species
CAGAGCCCCCACCUCUGACCAGGAGGCCUCCCAACAGAGAGCUCUAAUAAAUAAGAGUUCUUAUCUGUAAAAUCAGGAAAAUAACAGUACCUAUCAUAUGGGAUUAUUUUGAAGGAAACACUUGAAACAGUGAUUGCCAUAAUUGCCCUGCAAUGGAUCAUGGAUCCCAGGCUGCUUCUGGACAGGCUCCAGACUCACUGGAGACAUCCUGACACAUAAUGCUUCGCCCAGCACAAUGCGAUGCCCUUUACCUAGUAAAAGGGUGAGUCCCGUAAAGGUGCUGCCUUCCCCCCAGAACAAACAAGGGAAAUGCAUCAGGAGAGCUCAGCUGCAGACAGAAUGCACAUCAUGAAGCAGGAGCCACCCUGGGAUUCCUCAGAUGAAAGCCAAUUUCAAUGAACAUUGUGUUUCAAAGCCCGCUUCCUCUUGCUCGGUUGUCUGCCAACGCUAACUGGCCAGCUCUGACAGGAGGUGCGUGGCCCAGGAGGAGCCAUCAGGCCAGUUCUCUGGGAUACUGCUGUGUCUCCAGCUCUGCAGUUUGCUCUUCGUCACUCAGCGGCAGACGGAGAGGCAGACACGAGCCCCUUGUGAGCCCUCCUCCUUACCGUCAUCUCACAAUGCUCUGAAAUAAGGAGGCAAAUGGCUGAGGUCCCCUCAGUUGUAGAUGUGAUUGAGUUCUAUCUACCAGAAGCAUAUGCCUCCUGGAAGCCUGGUUCUAACACCUCCCACAAAAUCCUUCAAGCACUUUUUUCUGUUCCAAGGUUUGCUUAUGGGGGACCCAGUGAAGUGCUUCAGAGCCCUAGAGAUUUGCUGAGUCAUAUGAGGGGUCAGCAAACUUUUCCUGUAAAGGGUCAGAUAAUAAACAUUUUAAGCUUUGUAGACUGUAUAAAGUCUCUGUUUCUUCUCCCCCUCCUCCUCCUCUUUCUCCUUCAGCUUCUUUCCUUUAAAUAUGUACAAAACCUUUCUUCUUUUCCAAAAUCUGUCUAUAUUUGACCUGUGAGCUGUAGUGUGCUGAGUCCUGCAUUAGUAGGAAAGAUCUUGAGUUUCAGAAUGACGAUGUAAAGCAGAGACCCUCCUCCCCGCACCCAUUCUCUGCAACCGACACUUGGAUUACUUUUCUUUUACUCUUUGUCUUUCUCUGAAGUAUAGAUGUAUGGUUGGCUUUCUGAGGUCAAAUAUAAUUAAGAGGUAGCCAACCAUUUGGCAAAUUUGAACCAAGAAGAGUUCUGAUAUAAAGAAUGUAGGACCCAUUCACUCCCAAUUAGUCUCUUCACUGAAAGGUGGCUUACACCAGGUAUAUCUCAUUUGCUAAUUUGCUUAGUCCAUGUCUAGGGAACCAUUGUGAUCAAGCCAAUAUACCCAGGCCAGAGCAGCCUGCUUUAGAAUCAAAGCUUUAGGCUAGGCGUGGUGGCUCACAUCUGUAAUUCCAGCACUUUGGGAGGCCGAGGCGGACAGAUCACUUGAGGUCAGGAGUUCGAGACCAGCCUGGCCAACAUGGUGAAACCCCGUCUCCAUUAAAAAUACAAAAAUUAGCCGGGCAUGGUGGCGGGCCCUGUAAUCCCAGCUACAGCUACUUGGGAGGCUGAGGCAGGAGAAUCACUUGAACCCAGGAGGAGGAGGUUGUAGUGAGCUGAGAUUGCAUCACUGCACUCUAGCCUUGACAACAGAGUAAGACUCCACCACAAAAAAAAAAAAAAAAAAAAAAGAAUCAAAGCUUUAAAAUCCAGCAGAAGUAAAAUUUCCAAGUGGGAGGGAAGAGGAUCAACAGGAGAAUCUGCAAGAGUAAAAGAGGAAGAAGAUGUGUGCUGCAUGGCACAAAAUGAAUCUGCAAAGCAUCUGGGAACUGCAGACCCUACUGAUGCCUGGAACUCACUGGAGUCAGCAUGUCCAGGCAGUCAUUGUAGCAAGUCAGAGUGGUGUGAUGAAAUGCUUCAGGAGAAAAACAUUUCACCACAGCCUGGUUCACUCAGAUACCUUGCCAGGGAACCAACAUCUCACUCGGGCCUCUGAUAUUGUAACUGUGGGCCUUUAAGAAACAACGGAAAACCCAACUGAAUAAAAACUGACCUCCUUUGUGGCUGCCCUGAUGGAAGGGGCUCAGGAGCAACAGCCUUCAUGGUGCCCACCCUCUGGGCCAGAACAACGGAUGCCCCACAACUGAGUUUAGUGCCUCCAAGAACCACAGCUUUUUUUUGCAGCAGUAAGAGCAUACCUCUGAGGCACUGUGAAGAAUCUGAUAGUCGAACUGAAUGAAGCCAAGUCCAGUCUUUACGGAAAAAUUUACACAACACUUCCAGGUGGGCAGAUUCAAAGACAGGAUGAAUCAUGGUUCAGUGCAGUGGUUCCUGGCUGUAAUCCUAGCACUUUGGGAGGCCGAGGCAGGGGGACUGCUUAAGACCAGGAAUUCAAGACAAAUCUGGGGAACAUAGUGAGACCCCGUCUCUACAAAAAAUUUUAAAAAAUUAGCCAGGUGUGGUGGCCCGUUCCUGUGGUCCCAGCUACUCAAGAGGCUGAGGCGGGAGGGUCACUUGAGCCCAGGAGUUUGAGGUUACAGCAAGCUAUGAUCGCACAUCACUGCACACUAGCCUGGGUGACAGAGCGAGACCCUGUGACCCCCUUCCUCCCUGAAAAAAAAAAAAAAAA